GACGAACGCUGGCGGCGUGCUUAGCACAUGCAAGUCGAACGGAAAGGCCCUGCUUUUGUGGGGUGCUCGAGUGGCGAACGGGUGAGUAACACGUGAGUAACCUGCCCUUGACUUUGGGAUAACUUCAGGAAACUGGGGCUAAUACCGGAUAGGAGCUCCUGCUGCAUGGUGGGGGUUGGAAAGUUUCGGCGGUUGGGGAUGGACUCGCGGCUUAUCAGCUUGUUGGUGGGGUAGUGGCUUACCAAGGCUUUGACGGGUAGCCGGCCUGAGAGGGUGACCGGCCACAUUGGGACUGAGAUACGGCCCAGACUCCUACGGGAGGCAGCAGUGGGGAAUAUUGCACAAUGGGCGGAAGCCUGAUGCAGCAACGCCGCGUGCGGGAUGACGGCCUUCGGGUUGUAAACCGCUUUCGCCUGUGACGAAGCGUGAGUGACGGUAAUGGGUAAAGAAGCACCGGCUAACUACGGGC
rnacentral:rRNA from 1 species